rnacentral:rRNA from 1 species
GAUGAACGCUAGCGGCAGGCCUAACACAUGCAAGUCGAGGGGUAGAAUUAGCUUGCUAAUUUGAGACCGGCGCACGGGUGCGUAACGCGUAUGCAAUCUGCCUUGUACUGAGGGAUAGCCCAGAGAAAUUUGGAUUAAUACCUCAUAGUGUUAUUGAAUGGCAUCAUUUAAUAACUAAAGUUCCAACGGUACAAGAUGAGCAUGCGUCCCAUUAGUUAGUUGGUAAGGUAACGGCUUACCAAGACGAUGAUGGGUAGGGGUCCUGAGAGGGAGAUCCCCCACACUGGUACUGAGACACGGACCAGACUCCUACGGGAGGCAGCAGUGAGGAAUAUUGGUCAAUGGGCGCAAGCCUGAACCAGCCAUGCCGCGUGCAGGAUGACGGUCCUAUGGAUUGUAAACUGCUUUUAUACGGGAAGAAACACUCCUACGUGUAGGAACUUGACGGUACCGUAAGAAUAAGGAUCGGCUAACUCCGUGCCAGCAGCCGCCGUAAUAC